rnacentral:rRNA from 1 species
UACGAAGGGGGCUAGCGUUGCUCGGAAUCACUGGGCGUAAAGGGUGCGUAGGCGGGUCUUAAGUCAGGGGUGAAAUCCUGGAGCUCAACUCCAGAACUGCCUUUGAUACUGAGGAUCUUGAGUUCGGGAGAGGUGAGUGGGAACUGCGAGUGUAGAGGUGAAAUUCGUAGAUAUUCGCAAGAACACCAGUGGCGAAGGCGGCUCACUGGCCCGAUACUGACGCUGAGGCACGAAAGCGUGGGGAGCAAACAGG